rnacentral:rRNA from 1 species
CUACGUGCCAGCAGCUGCGGUAAUACGUAGGCUUCAAGCGUUAUCCGGAAUUACUGGGUGUAAAGCGUCUGUAGGCGGCAGAGUAAGUUUGGCAUGAAAGACCGGGGCUUAACCCCGUGUUUGUGUCGAAAACUGCUCAGCUAGAAUCUGGGAGAGGGAAGCAGAAUGAUGUGAGUAGGGGUGCAAUCCGUUGAUACACAUCAGAAUACCAAAAGCGAAGGCAGCUUCCUGGAACAGUAUUGACGCUCAGAGACGAAAGCGUGGGGAGCGAAAAGGAUUAGAUACCCUUGUAGUCCACGCCCUAAACGAUGAUGACUAGGUGUCGGCGUAAGCCGGUGCUAUAAGCUAACGCGUUAAGUCAUCCACCUGAGGAGUACGGCCGCAAGGUUAAAACUCAAAUGAAUAGACGGGGACCCACACAAGCAGUGGAUCAUGUGGUUUAAUUCGACAAUAAACGAGGGACCUUACCCAGGCUUGACAUCCCGAGAAGUCCGAUGAAAGUUGGAUGUGCCCGCAAGGGAACUCGGUGACAGGCGCUGCAUGGUUGUCGUCAGCUCGUGCCUUGAGGUGUUCGGUUAAGUCCGUUAACGAGCGCAACCCAUGUCGUUAGUUAUUAUGUCUAACGAGACUGCCUGAGUUAAUCAGGAGGAAGGUGUGGAUGACGUCAAAUCAGCAUGGCCCUUAUGCCUGGGGCCACACACAUGAUACAAUGGUCGGUACAAAGAGUCGCAAUACAGUAAUGUGGAGCCAAUCUAUAAAGCCGAUCUCAGUCCGGAUUGAGGGCUGCAACUCGCCCUCAUGAAGUUGGAAUUGCUAGUAAUCGUGAAUCAGCCAUGUCACGGUGAAUCUGUUCCCGGGUCUUGUACUCACCGCCCGUCAAACCAUGGGAGGUGUGCGUACCUGAAGUCCUUCGAGCAAUACGGAGGCCCACGGUAAACACACUGACUGGGGUUAAGUCGUAACAAGGUAUCCGUACGAGAACGUGCGGAUG